rnacentral:rRNA from 1 species
GACGAACGCUGGCGGCGUGCCUAACACAUGCAAGUCGAACGCUAAGGCUUGGUGCUUGCUCUGGGUGGAUGAGCGGCGGACGGGUGAGUAAUAAGUGAGUAACCUGCCUAUAACUCUGGGAUAAGACUGGGAAACCGGGUCUAAUACUGGAUACGACAUGUCACCGCAUGGUGGUGUGGGGAAAGGGGGUUGCUGGGUUUGGAUAGGCGCACGGCCUAGCAGCUUGUCGGUGGGGUAAUGGCUCACCAAGGCGAAGACGGGUAGCCGGCCUGAGAGGGUGGCCGCCGUCGCUGGGACUGAGAGACGGCGCAGACGCCUAUGGGGGGCAGCAGUGGGAAACAUUGCGGAAUGAGCGGGAGCCUGAGACGGAGACCCCGGGGGGGGGAAGACGGCCUUCGGGUUGUAAACCUAUGUCGGAGCGGAAAGACACAAAGUGACGGUACCUGCAGAAGAAGCGCCGGCUAACUACGUG